rnacentral:rRNA from 1 species
CAGCCGCCGCGGUAAUAUAGAGGGUGCGAGCGUUAAUCGGAUUUACUGGGCGUAAAGCGUGCGUAGGCGGCUUUUUAAGUCGGAUGUGAAAUCCCUGAGCUUAACUUAGGAAUUGCAUUCGAUACUGGGAAGCUAGAGUAUGGGAGAGGAUGGUAGAAUUCCAGGUGUAGCGGUGAAAUGCGUAGAGAUCUGGAGGAAUACCGAUGGCGAAGGCAGCCAUCUGGCCUAAUACUGACGCUGAGGUACGAAAGCAUGGGGAGCAAACAGGAUUAGAUACCCCUGUAGUCCCUGUCUCUUAUAC